AAAACCGGUAUUUUGUAGAUUUGCGAGUGUGCGAAUGCUCGUGAGGUAAAUCGAUUAAUGUUUUUGGUAAGCUGCAAAAUUUGGACUGCAAAGUGCAUGAUUUCUGUGCCCUCGAUAUUUUUGGGCUUAAUGGGCCAAAAUUAGAAUGAUGGGCCAACGGGCCCAAUUCGGAAAUCCCCAACCAUAGUGGGCUUGGAGCUGUGAGGGAAUUCGGAGUGGCCACCCAUUCUGAAAGUUUGAUUUUCUUCUGGUGAACUGGACAUCCUUUUAAUUACGUUUGAGGUUUUGGGCUUUUAAAUGUAAUAAGGCCGCUUAUUUAUUUUUGAUGGUUUUUAAUAUGUAUUACUAAGAUAGGUAAUACUUAUUUUAA